GGUGGACUUAUGGACCCUGCUUUUAAAUUUGUGAUCAACAAUAGGGGCAUUGAUUCAGCAGCUGAUUAUCCAUACACCAAAUCUCGAGGCUCUUGCAGUUACAACAAGUUGAACAAGAAGGCUGUAACAAUUGAUGGAUAUCAAGAUGUUGCACAAGAAGAAAGUGCCCUACUUUGUGCUGUUGCUAGACAACCUGUCAGUGUAGGCAUUGAUGGAAAAAGCCUUGAUUUUCAGCUAUAUGCAGGGGGAAUCUAUGAUGGAGAAUGCUCUAGUAAUCCAGAUGACUUAUCCCAUGCAGUACUAAUUGUAGGAUACGGUUCUGAAGGAGGAGUUGACUAUUGGAUUAUCAAGAACUC
rnacentral:misc_RNA from 1 species